rfam:Paenibacillus sp. FSL H7-0737, complete genome.
GAGGCUGUAUCGAUAAAUCAUCGAAUGGUGCUCUAAUAGGUUUUAAUAAAUGAAUAGUAAUUAACUUGUAGCCAUGGAGGUGAACUCGUUGGAUUUUGCUCAGAUCCGUAAGGACCGAGACAAAAGA